rnacentral:lncRNA from 1 species
UAUAUAUAUAUAUAUAUAUAUAUAUAUAUAUAUAUAUAUAUAUAUACAUACUGUCAUUUGCUUUCUGCAUAUUUGAUUUUUCCAAGAUCAUUGGGAAGUAUUUUGUCAUUUAUAUAGUGAAUAUAUGUUACAUUUUCUCUAAACACGAUUUAAUCAAUUAUGGACUCCAUGAAAGCAAAAUAAUAUUUUUUAUAAUUUAUAUUUUUGUAUAAUGCAUUGUUGUGUUCAUAAAAAUAAUAUUAUGUGUUAUAGUUGCCAACAUGUAGUUGUAAAGGAAUGACCAUGAUAUUAGACUGUGUGAUUGUAGUUGAUGCUUCCGAGAUUGUACGGGACAUGUACUGUGUUUGGAGUUGUGAUACGUGCCGAACACUGAUGCACGGAGAGUUGCUAGUUGAGCGUCGUACACUCCUGCAGUGUGGUUAAUGAUUGCAGUGGCAGCAUUCACGUUUGCGCUCUCAUACAAUGGUCAAUUCCUUGUAAUAAUAAAGAUGAGAGGAUCCUACAGUUUGGUAGCCAGAAUUAGUACUAGAUGAUGUGAUAAGUGAGGAAAUGUGAGAGUUGUUGAAAUAGACACAUUUGACAAAGGACAGAACACUCGGCAGCACCAUCCUGGACACAAGGGUCAGCCACGGCAGCAGUGACAGCUCUGUUGGCCUUUACAAGUCAGACUGUCCACUUAUACACUACUCAUCUCAAACAUGUUCAGUACUUGACUACAUCUUGAUCCCUCCCUCAUUUGUACCCCAUUGUUAAAUGCUGAAUAUAGAAAAGUGCUCCUGGAUGUAUGUAUUACAAAUUAUAAAAUCUUUUCAGUAUUUUAUGAUAGGACUCUUGUAAUACUUUGCAAUGAUCAAAAAUUUUCCUUUUGUUGAAAUAUAUGUAGUUAGUGAUGAAAACCCUGAAAGCAAGGCAAGUUACUAAACAAGGGCAAUUAAGUGGGAGAAUUCCUUGAUAGUGAUGCAGAAGAGGGAGUGGUCUGGAAGUAAGAGUAUGCCUUGGUAGUGAUGUAGAAGUGGGAGUAUGCCUUGGUAGUGAUGGAGUAUGCCUUGGUAGUGUUCUGGAAGUGGAAAUAUGCCUUGGUAGUGUUCUGGAAGUGGAAAUAUGCCUUGGUAGUGUUCCGGAAAUGGGAGUAUGCCUUGGCUGUGUUUAGAAAUGAGAUUAUGCCUUGACAGAGUUGCAGAAGAGGCAGUAUGCCUUAGGAAGGCACAAGAAAACGUGAGUGUAUUCCCCGGUUGUUACAUGUGCCAAAUGUGAGCAGGUUGUAUGCACGUCUCGCCCAAAGACCUGUACAGUAUUCUGAAAUUCUGUACUUGAUAAGUAAGGUAAAUUACGGGGACAUGAGGCUUGAUCGGUGCUGAGUGUUGGCGAUGCUUAGUUGACUAAGUUUCUCUUUGGAGAUCAUUUUUUGUUUUGAUGUGUAGUCGAAAUAAUGUUUAGGAAUAAAAUAUAUAUUAUGUUUUACUAAUGGUUUAUGUAUUUAUUGAGUCAUCAAUAACCAUCCAACCAGCAACUACCAGAACUGUCAACAACAACAAAAUACAGUCAUUUGUUUUCAUAUAUAAUGCUUCUAAUAAUCUAUUUACUAUUUAUUCUACAAUAAAACUCAGUAGAUUUA